rnacentral:lncRNA from 1 species
GCCAUUUGUGGGGCUGGACAGAGGAGCAUGGGGUAUGUCAGGAAAGUUCGUGCUGCUAGGCAGAGGAACUGCAGCUUGUUGGCAGGUGAAGGGAGCCUGUUUAGCUGUGUCCAGCAACAACUUACGUGGUCCUGCUUGUGUUCCAGGUGAAGCGUCUGGCCGCCGAGCAGAGGUUGUUGCUGCUUCACAUUCGUAGAAUCAAGACCUGCUCAUUCUUUCCUCGGGGGAUCCAUCCAGCAAUGACAUCAUCUCAUGCUGCCACAAGGACCCCAAGUCUGGGCUGCUGGGGACCAGCCACGCUCCCCACUGCUCAUUCCUUCAUCCUAGAGACAUUCUGACUCUCCUCCGACUGCGCUGUGCACAGGUGUGACAAGCUCUUUUACAUCUCAGUCUGCACAACUUCAGGCACUUAGCAGAUUGAUAUGCAUCCAACAAAUAUUGAUUGAAUAUCUGCUAAAUACCCAGUAAUGUUUCAUGAGUGAUUGGGUGAAUAAAGGAAUGCUGGUUCCUUCUGGCCAUAUUAACUCCUGCACAAUACUAAGAAAAAUAAAUUGCACUAGCUGUGGAAUAAUGUGAAUCCCAAUGUCAUCUAUUGAAAUAUUACCUGACUAUUAAGAGGUAUUUAUUUUUGUAUCUUUUCUAGCAAAGUAAAUAAAAUUCUUAAUACAGC